GGCGGAUGUAGCCAAGUGGAUCAAGGCAGUGGUUUUGUGA
rnacentral:tRNA from 1 species